rnacentral:rRNA from 1 species
GGCCUAACACAUGCAAGUCGAACGGUAACAGGAAGCAGCUUGCUGCUUCGCUGACGAGUGGCGGACGGGUGAGUAAUGUCUGGGAAACUGCCUGAUGGAGGGGGAUAACUACUGGAAACGGUAGCUAAUACCGCAUAAUGUCGCAAGACCAAAGAGGGGGACCUUCGGGCCUCUUGCCAUCGGAUGUGCCCAGAUGGGAUUAGCUUGUUGGUGGGGUAACGGCUCACCAAGGCGACGAUCCCUAGCUGGUCUGAGAGGAUGACCAGCCACACUGGAACUGAGACACGGUCCAGACUCCUACGGGAGGCAGCAGUGGGGAAUAUUGCACAAUGGGCGCAAGCCUGAUGCAGCCAUGCCGCGUGUAUGAAGAAGGCCUUCGGGUUGUAAAGUACUUUCAGCGGGGAGGAAGGGAGUAAAGUUAAUACCUUUGCUCAUUGACGUUACCCGCAGAAGAAGCACCGGCUAACUCCGUGCCAGCAGCCGCGGUAAUACGGAGGGUGCAAGCGUUAAUCGGAAUUACUGGGCGUAAAGCGCACGCAGGCGGUUUGUUAAGUCAGAUGUGAAAUCCCCGGGCUCAACCUGGGAACUGCAUCUGAUACUGGCAAGCUUGAGUCUCGUAGAGGGGGGUAGAAUUCCAGGUGUAGCGGUGAAAUGCGUAGAGAUCUGGAGGAAUACCGGUGGCGA